GUCCACGCCGUAAACGUUGGGCACUAGGUGUGGGACUCUAUCGACGGGUUCCGUGCCGUAGCUAACGCAUUAAGUGCCCCGCCUGGGGAGUACGGCCGCAAGGCUAAAACUCAAAGGAAUUGACGGGGGCCCGCACAAGCGGCGGAGCAUGUGGCUCAAUUCGAUGCAACGCGAAGAACCUUACCUGGGUUGAACUACGCCGGAAAAGCCAUAGAGAUAUGGUGUCCUUCGGGUCGGCGAUAGGUGGUGCAUGGCUGUCGU
rnacentral:rRNA from 1 species